CCUAUAGCUGUCUAUAAGGCACUCCAGUUCUUUCACGGAGGCUAUGCUGGAGCUGGCGGUGUCCAUUUGCAAAGUAGCAACUGAAGGUCCAGAUUUAUUAAUUGUUUCAGGAAACCUCGAUUAGGAAAGAUCCACCGAUGUUCUUUAACUGUCUGUAUUGCUUUAACCAACGAGAAAUGAUGAUAGAUCAUGAGGUACGCCAGCACCAAAGAGGAGGACCUGCUUAUCCCAAAAGCACAGUGGACAAAGAUUUUGCCUGGAAAUAAAAGCGAUAGAUUGGCGUUCAGGUCCAGAAACUUCAGCUGAUGCAAAAUGCAGUGGGGCAAACAGGACCCGUCGCCUACAGAGCUACAUAUGGUGGUACUAUGGGGGCCCUUUUCUUCCAUGGCGACCAUAUUGUGGAAUCUUCGCCACCCACCCACCCUCUGCCCCGAGAUAAUGUGGUCCUCAUCAUCCUGAGUUUCUGAAAGUCCCUCAAGACCUGGUUAUUAAGCCUGGGGAACUCCAGGAGACAGGUGAACUCAUGAAGUGGCUCCCUUAUUAUUAACAUCCCUCUAUUCUUCUUCUUCCCCCUCUGCUUUUAUAACUUCUAAUUCUGUUUAAUAAUUAGUAUACAAUGACUUUAACUAAGGACUGUCUUAUCUAUUUGACUCUUUGUACAGGAACGUUGUACACUACCCACCGUCAUGUUCCAUAUAAAUUUAAUUAAUAAAUAAAUUAAAAAUAAAAAUAAUCUUUAUAUAUGGCAUUUAAAAAAAAAGCACAAAGGAAAGCAAAGGCUUUUGGCCAAAGGAAGUUUGUUAAUCUUGAGGGCAUGUGAAUGGAUGCCAUCACAAAAUGGCUGCCACAGAGGAGUUGCUAAUUCACACAACCACCUGCCCAUUGGACUGUUGCAAGUGCUUCAAUAUCCAUUCACAAUUGUGUCACCUGGGCCUAUCCAAGAUGCUGCAGUUUGCCUGAAUGGAGAAUGGUGGGGUUACCCCCAGUGAGGGAAGAAGAUCUGGCUGCUCUCACAGGCUCACUAAGAUCUUGGAGGUCCAGGAUGACAAGGUCAUCAGAAAGCCAUGAAGCCAGGCAACAUGGCCACUUGAUUUGAAAGCAUUAUCAAGGAGGAAACUGUAGGAGAGGACCAGGCUGAGCCUGAGGGAGGCAUCAAGCGUGUUAUCAGUCACCAGUCCCUGCAUGCCCACAAGUGA